AAUGAACGCUGGCGGCGUGCUUAACACAUGCAAGUUGAGCGGUAAGGCCCCUUCGGGGGUACACGAGCAGCGAACGGGUGAGUAACGCGUGGGUAAUCUACCUAGAGGUGGGGGAUAGCCUCGGGAAACCGGGGGUAAUACCGCAUGAGUUCUUUCCAACACAAGUUGGAUUGGGGAAAGGCGGGGAUCUUCGGACCUGUCGCCUCUAGAUGAGCCCGCGUCCGAUUAGCUAGUUGGUAGGGUAAUGGCCUACCAAGGCACCGAUCGGUAGCCGGCCUGAGAGGGUGAACGGCCACAUUGGGACUGAGACACGGCCCAGACUCCUACGGGAGGCAGCAGUGGGGAAUUUUGGGCAAUGGGGGAAACCCUGACCCAGCGACGCCGCGUGGAGGAUGAAGGCCUUCGGGUUGUAAACUCCUGUCAGGUGG
rnacentral:rRNA from 1 species